rnacentral:ncRNA from 1 species
CGCCCGCAAGGGCGCGACGACAAACUGAUAGCUCGACACGGAGGGCCGGACGCUCCUUGCAUGGCGGCGGCGUGCGCGUUUGCCGCCGUUUCAUGGCCUCACCGUUACGCAAUUUAGACAACGCGCCGAGAAAGAAUUGUGCGAGGUAUUUUUAUUUUGUUAUGAACAG